rnacentral:misc_RNA from 1 species
GCAAACUUGGUCAUUUAGAGGAAGUAAAAGUCGUAACAAGGUCUCCGUUGGUGAACCAGCGGAGGGAUCAUUACAGAGUUAUUCAAAACUCCCAAACCCAUGUGAACUUACCUUCUGUUGCCUCGGCAGGGCCUAUUGAGGUCAUCGCGACCUCGGUGGUGGCCUGCCGGUGGACUACCAAACUCUUGUUAUUAUUGUGGAACUCUGAGUUACAUAAACUUAAUAAGUUAAAACUUUCAACAACGGAUCUCUUGGUUCUGGCAUCGAUGAAGAACGCAGC